rnacentral:tRNA from 1 species
UAGCUCAGAUGGUUAGAGCAACUGACUCAUAAUCAGUAGGUCCCUGGUUCAAGUCC